rnacentral:lncRNA from 1 species
CUCAACCUCAAUGCAACAAAAAUCCAGCAGCAUAACCACUACUAGCAUCGCGACCGUUACCACCGUCACCGCCAACACCGAAAGUGCAUCGAAUUAGGAUACCACCCACAACAAACCACCACAGCAAACAUGACAUCCAAACAAGACAAAUAACAGACACACAAAAUAGGAAACACGCGCCACCACUAUCACCAAUCACCACACCUAUCACCAGUCACCUCAACUGUUGACAUCCCAAAAUUGAAACCCACAUAGCUCAGAUUGCUAGCAUAAAGCUCCCAGAGGAUGGAUGUUCAAAUUGUCUCAAUGAAACCUUCUCGAUUGCCGUUGAUUACAGAAACUUUGCAGUCAGCAUUGACAAGAGGUUGUCUGCUACUUGGGGCAUAAUUUAUCCCAAUGAACGACUCUGACUCUAGGAAAACAACAUAAAUAGAAAUCUCCCUUCGCUGCACUGCUGCGCAUAGUCGGAAUGGGACUGAUGGGUGGAGAGAGAAAGGAGAUAAUAGAGCAUAAAAAGCGGGUUCCAUUUUAGAAAGCUUCACUCUGCUUCGAGUGUGGCUGAUACGAUAAAAAUGAGCCAAGAUAUAUUCAUGAUCAGACAACGAAGUCUGAGAACAAGUUUUGGGCGGUGGUCGGCGACUGGAUUUGGGAGUAAAGACAGAGAAGAGAGGAAAAUGAGGGAUUGAUAGUGUUGGUGGGUUGGUUGAUU